CCCCCCCCAAAUCUGACAACUCUUACACACAGAAAGGAAGAAACUGAAAUUGCCAAUGAGAGUUAAACUUUUCUCCCGGCCACAAAUGGACACAGUCAUAUCCAAAUUCUGGUGUUGUUGAUACGGAACUUCUAGAUGCCACCUGUCACCAUGGCCCAUAAGAAAUGUGCCAGUAGAGGAACCAGCUGGAUGUGAGCCUGGGAGGAAAGGGUUCAAAGCCUCUCAGUCCGAGGAGGUGGUUUGCCACACACACACAUGUGCAAACCCACAAGCAACUAAAAGUGUCAACCAAACCACCCCACAUACAUGGCAAUGGCCAACUCCGCAAUUUUCCUCUCAUGUGCCACCCAUCUAAGCUGACUGAUUUCAGUUUCCUGCCUGGCUCCACACCUGUAGCUUCACAAGCUGCCUGGGAGCUGCCAUGAUGUCAUCACAAUCGGGUUCCCCAGAUGGGGAGGGCAUAUAGACACCAAACUAUGUGGCUAACAAGUCCUGACUGGCAGGGCGAAAGUUGAAAAUACCAGGGCACUUACAAAAUCAAUAUUAAAAAGAAAAUAAUACCAAAUAAUUAAAUAUAAAAAUGAAGGGGAAAAUCAAAAACAUUCAAAUGGAAAAUGACGAAAGUUCCAAUACAUAAGAAAAAAUGUAAAAGAAGAAAAGAAAAGUAGAAAACAAUGUAAUGCAAGAAAGGGAACUUCAUUAGGAGGCACGUCUUCAGUUGUCAAAGGUGACUCGAGUUCCACACACACAUGCCAGAAUCUGAAGGGAUUAUCGAAGGGCCUUCACAUGGUCUGGUCCUACACAGAGUCCCAGAGUCUCAACACCACGAUUUGAUGACAAGGCUAUAAUCCCAGAGAAAAUCUAGUGCGAGUGGGAAAGACACAUUGCAUCCAGAGGAGAGGGGGCAGGGCACGUCCACUGCCCAGGGAAAGCACUUGCCUCAAGUGGUACCAAUGUCCUCCUGAAGACCUCUUCAAGCAAAGGUCUGAACAACUGAUGGCAGGGCUACCACAGGAAGCUGUCGAAAUGAUAGGGAUGGGACAUCCAGGGGAGGGCCAUACCAGGCAUUGAUAAGUCCCAUGGCCCCGAUCCUGACCAGUCGGCCAGCCAGUGUCUGGAACCCAAGUGACUCCAUCGGCAUGGCCCCCACCAGCACAUCAAGGAGCCAACUCCCAUGGAGAUCCCGACGGAGGCGGCUUGUUUGGAAGCCGACACAACAAGGGGCUCCGCAUGCAUUGGUCAAGCAGAACCCAUACCCAGACAUCACUACCAGAGAACGACUGGCCCGAGAGCUAGACAUUCCAGAAUCCAGGAUCCAGGUGUGAUUUCAGAACCAGUGCAUGAGACAGCUAAGGCAGAAAUGAUUGGGGUCUGCCAAAUCCCAAGGGGGAAGGGACAGCACAUGGACAAGAACAACCUCCAGGUUUGACUCAAGAAAACAGGUGCAUCUUGCUUGGAUGUAGGCAAUAAUUUGGACUCUAUACAUUCCC